CUAAUGUUUGCGAUUAGCUUUUUUAUUUUAAAAGAUUGGCAAUUACUGAGGCAAGUUUUCAAGAAACAUAUCAACAUCCAAGAGUUCACUACUAUCUUCCACCAUUUCAGCAAUACGGUUAUCCUUUGUCUGUUCUGAAUUGCCAUUCUCAGCUGCUGGUCUUCAGUGACAGUUGUCUGCAAGACCGACUGGGAAGGUUGAGGAAAAACAGUACUACAUUCUUUGGUUGUCUGUUCCAUUAUGUUGUCAAACUGUACAUCUGUGUUUAUCAAAUUUUCCUCAGCCGUUGCUUCAAUUUCUGAUUCUUCCAUGCGAAAUUUCUUCAUGUAUACCUAGUCAUGUAAAAAAUAAAACAACUAUUUGCUGAUCCACAA